UGAUUUUUAGGCUCUGGCGUCUGCGAUCGCGUCCACUCAGGUGAUGACGGCUCAGCAGGUGGUGAAAGGAGAGGACGGAGACGAGGUUUUGAUCCCGCUGGCGACGGACGGAUCGGGGGCGGUGGAGCAGAACGCGGCGCUGCCGGACUACUUACCGGAGGACGAGAGUCCGUCUCUGGAGCCCGACAAGGCGGUGACCCGCGUGGGAUCGGGCCAGGACGGGAGCAGCUGGCUGGGCGCCGCCACCAACUUCCUGUCUCGCUCUUUUUACUGGUGACCCGCUUAAACCCUGACCUGGCCGCCUCAGAACCAGAACCUACCCGCCCCCCUCAGAACCAGAACCCACCCUGCUGCCAAAUCUCACCUCUGUCCAUCACACACACUCAAAAGUGGACGUAUGAGACAAGAACUGUUCUGUUCUUCCAGGUACACUUUGAAUAUGUUCAGUAUUGUUAUUUAAGAGGCCAGAACUGGACCUUCGGACUAAUUGAGGUACUAAAUGAAAGACAAGGGGACACAGUUACCUUUUGACGGGUUUCUCUCCGGGGACAUUUGUCUCAUUUAGGGACACAACGGAACUUCUACUUUUGAGUGUGCAGCUGGAGACAAGACACCUGAGACAGAUCUUCUUGCUGGUCCCGGGGUCUUUCUGUAGACGGGGCCCUGAAGACGUCCCCGGGUCCAUGACAGCGAGCUACGGCAACACCACAAAGGACAAAUCACAUAGUUGCCGAGCGACGCGAUAAGGUCCAUGAAUACUCACGACUCACAUCGUGUCUCAACAGUCUGUCUGUCCUAAACCAAGUUGUCUUAAAGGGCAGGAAGUGUCCUCCAGCCACAGGACAGGACGUGUCCUAUAGCUACAUGACGUGUCCUGCAGCUACAGGACAGGACGUGUCCUGCAGCUACAGGACAGGACGUGUCCUGCAGCUACAGGACAGGACGUGUCCUACAGCUACAGGACAGGACUUGUCCUGCAGUAUUAUUGUUG